rnacentral:rRNA from 1 species
GUCGAGAAUCUUUCACAAUGGGGGCAACCCUGAUGGAGCGACGCCGCGUGGAGGAUAAGGUCUUCGGAUUGUAAACUCCUGUCAUGCGUGAACAAGGUUGCUUGGUUAAUACCUGGGCAAAUUGAUGGUAACGCAAGAGGAAGAGACGGCUAACUCUGUGCCAGCAGCCGCGGUAAUACAGAGGUCUCAAGCGUUGUUAGGAAUCACUGGGCGUAAAGGGUGCGUAGGUGGCGUGGUAAGUCAGAUGUGAAAGCCCGGGGCUCAACCUCGGAACUGCAUCCGAUACUGCCAUGCUAGAGUACUGGAGAGGUGACUAGAAUUCUCGGUGUAGCAGUGAAAUGCGUAGAUAUCGAGAGGAAUACCAAAGGCGUAGGCAGGUCACUGGACAGUUACUGACACUGAGGCACGAAGGCCAGGGGAGCGAACGGGAUUAGAUACCCUGGUAGUCC